rnacentral:rRNA from 1 species
GACGAAGGGGGCUAGCGUUGUUCGGAAUUACUGGGCGUAAAGCGCGUGUAGGCGGUUGCCCAAGUCGGGUGUGAAAGCCUUGAGCUUAACUCAAGAAAUGCACUCGAUACUUGGUGACUAGAGGACCGGAGAGGAUAGUGGAAUUCCCAGUGUAGUGGUGAAAUACGUAGAGAUUGGGAAGAACACCAGUGGCGAAGGCGGCUAUCUGGACGGUUUCUGACGCUAAGACGCGAAAGCGUGGGGAGCAAACAGG